rnacentral:rRNA from 1 species
UCGUCUAUAUACGUAUAGCAUAUCAAUAAGCGGAGGAAAAGAAACUAACUAGGAUUCCCUCAGUAACGGCGAGUGAAGCGGGAAGAGCUCAAAUUUGAAAUCUUCAAGGUUCUACCUUGACGAAUUGUAGUUUAAAGAAGUGUUUUCUGUUGGAGUUUUGGUAAAAGUUCUUUGGAAUAGGACAUCAUAGAGGGUGAGAAUCCCGUAUUUGACCAUUAUUUCCAACUUUGUGAUACACUUUCAAAGAGUCGGAUUGUUUGGGAAUGCAGUCCAAAAUGGGUGGUAAAUUUCAUCUAAAGCUAAAUAUUGGCGAGAGACCGAUAGCGAACAAGUACCGUGAGGGAAAGAUGAAAAGAACUUUGAAAAGAGAGUUAAACAGUACGUGAAAUUGUCAAAAGGGAAGCGUUUGACACCAGUGUUGUUUUCUCGAAAAUCAAUUAAAAAUGGGCGGAUUUUGUGUUGUAUUGACUUUAUCAGCUUUCUGCACUUUUUUCUUAUCUUUUUUAAUGCACUUUUCGUUUAACAAGUCAACAUCAAUUUCUUUUGCUGUAAAAGGGUAAUAGGAAGGUGGCUUUGACUUCGGUAGAAAGUGUUUAUAGCCUUUGACCUCUGCAAUCGGAGAGAUUGAGGUCUGCAGCGUAGACUCUUCGGGGUUAGAUACAUUUGUGCUAAGCUAUAGCUUUUCAUAGACAACUUGUUGACUAUGAUUAGUCAUUGUAGUUUACUCGCUUAUGCUAUUUUACCUACGCUUAGGAUGUUGACGCGCGUGUGUGCGUG